rnacentral:ncRNA from 1 species
GGUCUUCGAGGUGAAAAAAUGCGUCGUCAUGCGCCACAUGCUUUAUGCAAUGGGCAAAAGAGAUGCUGGGAGUGACGCUCCGGCCGAAAGGCU